rnacentral:rRNA from 1 species
UACGGAGGGUGCAAACGUUGCUCGGAAUCAUUGGGCGUAAAGCGCACGUAGGCGGUCUGUCAUGUCGGGUGUGAAAGCCCUCGGCUCAACCGAGGAAGUGCAUUCGAAACUAACAGGCUUGAAUAUGGAAGAGGGUCGCGGAAUUCCCGGUGUAGAGGUGAAAUUCGUAGAUAUCGGGAGGAACACCAGUGGCGAAGGCGGCGACCUGGGCCAAUAUUGACGCUGAGGUGCGAAAGCGUGGGGAGCAAACAG